rnacentral:lncRNA from 1 species
AAAGCCGCUGCUUGCAAUCGUGCACAGCCGACCCUAAAGUUCGCCUUCAGGGCUGCUUCUGCUAAGUUAGCAUGGGACAGUUUGAGGUCGUAAUCUGCUGUUGGACCUUUAAGCUUUCUCUUCACUAACCGUCCAUUUUUGCAGUCAGUAUUUGAGUUCUAAUACCCACUUACCGGGUGCCCUGACCUUGUCAGGCAUAUAUGGCAUUUCCUCCCCUCCAGGAGGGCAGAAAUCCUAAGGUCUGGAGGAUAACAUAUUUUCAUAGCUCGAACCCCUAAGAAAGCUAAAAUUCUGCUACACGUGUGUCCGCUGAGAUGUCUGCUGUAAGAAACUGCAUGAUGGCGUCUGGUUAUCCCAACAGGGUUUUACGUCACUCUGGUAGUGAACCGAUGGUGGAACCAGUUUGUGAAUCUGCCUUGGCCAGACAGGCUGAUGCUCCUCAUUUCCAGCAGUGUCCACGGGAGCGACCAGCAUGGGCGCCUGCUCAGAAGGACGCUGAUGCGCUACGUCAACCUGACGUCCCUGCUCAUCUUCCGCUCGGUGAGCACCGCGGUGUACAAGAGGUUUCCCACCAUGGACCACGUGGUCGAAGCAGGUACGGGGUGUGCGCUUGGUAGGAGCCACCAAAAUGCUUUUGAAAGCACCCGGGUGUAUUUAUUCAAGAAAUGUGGCAGAAGCAUUCUUAAAGGGCAAAGAUAAGUAGGUAAGAUAGGACUCCUGCCCUCAAGAAGUUUCCUUGGCAGGUAGAAGACAGAAGUAGCCGAAAGCCAAGAUGCCUUAAGAUAAAUAAUACAGUGAUGGUGAUCGGUCAUUAAAAGCAAUUUAUUUUGUUUAUUUUGUUCUGUUUUUCACUUGUUUUUUGCUUUGUUGGUGGUGUUUGUUUGUUUGUUUGUUUUACUUGGUUUGGCUUUGGCUUUGGCUUUGGCUUUGGUUUUGGUUUGUGAGACAGGUUAUCACUGUGUAGCCCAGGCUGGCCUUGAACUCACUGCAAUCCUCCUGCCUUAGCCUCCCUGGUGGUGGGAUUACAGAUGUGAGCCACCGAGCCUAGUUUAUAGCUAUUCCAGUUAGGUCUCAGGAUGUCCUGAAAACAGUAGAAGGUGGAUUUUAGAGAUUGCAAGCCGUCCUGAGUCACAUAGCUGCAGAGCGGAAGGAAGAGAAUUAAUAUUCAGGCUCAGAAACGCUAUAAUAAAAUGUGUCUUGAAGCAAAGUUGAAGGCUGGUUUGCUGUCGGUUUUCGUCCAGGUAAAUUGGGUGAAACCCUCCUCCCCGGAUGUGGUAGUGAAAGGCUCUCUCAGGGUGGACCUGUUGUCUCUCUUGUGUUUCAUGAGACGGUAGAUGUAGCUAUUCUAUGUAGGUUCCUGGGUCGUUCCUGGGCCUAGCAUGCUGAAAACGAGUCACGUGUGAGGUAUGGUGCUCUCUGGUAUGUAAAUGUUUAGUGAAGAAGCUGUUCAGCCAGCAAGGGCGGAGUGAGGUCAUUCCUGGCCCACAGUGAUGAUCCGGGUGCUCGAUUCUGCCUUCAUUUAGGCUGCAAAGUAAGAAAACGAAAGUGUACUCUCCAGUGUCCAUUUUCCUCCAAGAAGAAAACUGGAGGGUUUUGUUUGUUUGGGUUUGUUUUUGUUUUUACUUUGAUGUCUUUCUCCUUGUUUUGAGGUUUUUUUAUUUUAUGUUUUUAUUAUUUUUUUAUUUGAUGGGUAGCACAGAUAAUAUCUAAGAGCACAUAGCACAAGGGUUGGAAUUCUGACUCCACCGCUCACUAGUCACAUGACAGUGCUUAGGUACUUAGCCUUCCUGUGCCUCUAUCUUCACAUCUAUAAAAUGGGCUUAUGCUAGCGCAAAUAGGUUGUACAUCUUGUAGGUUCAGUGUGAGAACUAAGUAAGUUGAUAUUCCUAGCACCUGGAAAGGACUGUGUACUUUCUUGCUACAUUAAAGGAGCCAUCCAGACCGGCUAGUACAAGAUUUUGGUCACUUCUGAGGAAUCCUCGUGCCCAUGACAGCCCAGAUAUUCCAGAUCUAUUUUCACCACAAGAUUCAGAAAGUCGGGGCAGGGAAAGAAAGCAAGGGUAUAUGUACGUGAUAGGCCAUUUCUCCACCAGUGAAAUGAGCCGAUUCAAGGCAGAUUAGAGUAUAUUACGGCAGGUUUGUUGGGAAGUUGCUCUAAGGAAAGUUCACUGGCCCCCUAGACUGAGAUCAAGGAAGUUACCAUGGAGAGGGGGUGGGGGAGAGAAAGAGAGAAAGGGUGUGUACAGGGAGAGAAGACAGAGAGAGAGAGAAGGGGGGAGAGAGAGGGGGCGUGGAAAAUGCCUGGAUUAUAUCAUGAAGAACCUCUAAAGGAAGGGCAGCCCAGCCCCUAGGCUGGAAAGUUCAGAACUGGGGGCAGGGUUUGUCAGGUAGGGACUGAGGGAUGCUGGGAGAAUCUGGAGGCCAGAUCUGAUUUGAUAUGUAAACUAUGCACCUCAGUUCCUUGUCCCUGGGUCCUAAAUCAAACCGUAAGAAAGUUGUGGGGUGCAAGGAACUAGUGGAGGAUCCAGGCAGAAGGUUGAGUAGCCUGGCAAACACACAGGGGUAUUGUGUGAAAUGCCAGGAUCCAAAACCGAAGUAACCGCCUGCUGUCCCCCCAGUGUAUAUGUAGGAUAACUUCAGAAUAACUAGCCUGAACCGCUCCUGGGCAGCUUCAGUUUCUUACCCUACCACUGACUGACCUCUUGUGCAUCUAAAGUGCAUUGCCCUGGGCCCCACUUUGAACUUACUGACCAUAACCAACUUGAACCUUUAGAUGUCAUGCUUAGACCCCUCAGUUAGACACGCUGCCAUGUCUCUCCCUCUGUCUCUGUAUUUUAAGACAAUCUUGUCACCUAGCCCAGACUUGUCUCUCAUGGGAUCAAAAAUGUACAUCCUCAUUCUUGACUCCAUGUCACUUUCCUGCACAGAGGUUGACAAGCACUUAGUCUUUAAGGGGACGCUUCAAAAGCAAACAACAACAGAACUCUUUCUGAUUCCUGGCAAAAAAGGAAGAGGGAGAGGAUAAGAGCCAUCACCACUAACAAAUACCCACAAAGAAGACGUAGAUUUAGACCAUAGCCUUCCUGGGGACUGAGGAAUUCUAGGGCAUGCCCUCGGGCAGUGAGUCUGAGUAACUUGUUUAUACAUAGCUAGCAUAGUUCUUGGUUUAAAAGUCUUAGUUUCUUAGGACUGGAUGAAGGAG